rnacentral:rRNA from 1 species
UUUGAUCGAAGGAACAAUCAGGAUAUAUUGGAUUGGGCAAACAAACACCGUGCGUGGAUAGAAAUUUGGAAUCAAAGAGACACAUUAGUGCAAUCAGAGAAUAGACCUCACAAUCAGUUAGCAUAUCAGAAGUAUCAAGUGUGGUAUGCGGACCGUUACCGGUUAAAGCUAAAGCCUGCUUGGACUCACGAGGAGUGAUCGGAGUUGGUGUCUGAAGACCCGGAGACUGCAGAAGGUUAUCAUACCUUCAACACGGCUGUGAGACACCAGAGGGGCUCACGUUGA